rnacentral:lncRNA from 1 species
AGGAAGGCAUGGCGUGAGCUUCUGUGAGACAGGCUUCAGUCACACACCUUCUGCUCCUUGGCUCAGAGGGGGAAAUCACUGGAAAUUUGCCAUCCAGGCUCCUUUACUGAAGCUGUAAAAAGCACAGGUUAUGAAAAGCAAAAGGGAAAGGCUGUUUCCAGGCAGAGGAACAUGUCUCUGGGAUGGAAGCUCCCUCAUCCAGGAGCCAGUUUCACUGCUCUCUCUGUGGCUUAGGACAGAUCCACUGCUUUUCCCUCUGGAAAUGGACCCAUCAGUGAUGUUCAUGGGAGUAACUCGCAGCUCAGCAGCUCUGGGACGAGUAUAUCAGGCAGUUCCCAGGCCAAGGGAAUGCCAGCAGAGUGUUCAGAAGAAGCAUGAGUGUGGUGCUACUGCAAAACCAACAUUUAUCACAGCAAGGAAGAAAGGAAACAGGACUGGAAACCUCUCCCAAGAUCUGAGCUGGCAUUAGGGAGAGGGCUGACAGCACAGUCUGGGAUGGGGGCAGUGGAAGCUGUGCAUGUUAGAGGGGGUACAGCCUCCACCAGGGCGGAUCUGGCACGUGAAGGAAGGGACACUGCAGAUUUUGGUAUUGGGAGCACAAUCACAGGGACAAAUGCAAGCUGGCAGAUUCCCAGCCUCCUUUCUAUCUCAGAAAGAGGCACAUGGAGAGUGCAGGGAUGGGGGAGAAAGCCAGAGGAAACCAAAGUAAAAAUAAGAUUCACCUUUAUUUUGCCAGCCAUGGCAGCCCACUGAAAAUAAAUGCUCAGAGAGGCUUUCA